rnacentral:rRNA from 1 species
AGAUUGAACGCUGGCGGCAUGCCUUACACAUGCAAGUCGAACGGCAGCACGGGAGCAAUCCUGGUGGCGAGUGGCGAACGGGUGAGUAAUAUAUCGGAACGUGCCCAGUAGCGGGGGAUAACUACGCGAAAGCGUGGCUAAUACCGCAUACGCCCGUACGGGGGGAAAGGGGGGAUCGCAAGACCUCUCACUAUUGGAGCGGCCGAUAUCAGAUUAGCUUAGUGGUGAGGUAAAGCUACACAAGGCGACGAUCUGUAGCGUUGGUUUAGAGGACGGACGACCAGCCACACGUGGGACUGAGACACGGCCCAGACUCCGUAGGGAGCAGCAGGUGGGUAAUUUUGGAACUAAGUCGGGGAAACCCUGACUCCGAGCCACGUCCCGCGUGU